rnacentral:rRNA from 1 species
UACAGAGGGUGCUAGCGUUGUUCGGAAUCAUUGGGCGUAAAGGGCGUGUAGGCGGUUUGUUAAGUCAUGUGUGAAAUCCCUCGGCUCAACCGGGGAACUGCGUCUGAUACUGGGUGGCUUGAAUCCGGGAGAGGGAUGCGGAAUUCCAGGUGUAGCGGUGAAAUGCGUAGAUAUCUGGAGGAACACCGGUGGCGAAGGCGGCAUCCUGGACCGGCAUUGACGCUGAGGCGCGAAAGCCAGGGGAGCAAACGGG